rnacentral:rRNA from 1 species
AGUCGAACGCGUCUCCGUUAAUGAUUUUAGGUGCUUGCACUUGAAAGAUUUCCAUUGAGACGAGUGGCGAACUGGUGAGUAACACGUGGGUAACCUGCCCUUGAAGUAGGGGAUAACACUUGGAAACAGGUGCUAAUACCGUAUAACAACCAAAACCACCUGGUUUUGGUUUAAAAGACGGCUUCGGCUGUCACUUUAGGAUGGACCCGCGGCGCAUUAGCUUGUUGGUAAGGUAACGGCUUACCAAGGCGAUGAUACGUAGCCGACCUGAGAGGGCAAUCGGCCACAUUGGGACUGAGACACGGCCCAAACUCCUACGGGAGGCAGCAGUAGGGAAUCUUCCACAAUGGACGAAAGUCUGAUGGAGCAACGCCGCGUGAGUGAUGAAGGGUUUCGGCUCGUAAAACUCUGUUGUUGGAGAAGAACAGGUGUCAGAGUAACUGUUGACAUCUUGACGGUAUCCAACCAGAAAGCCACGGCUAACUACGUGCCAGCAGCCGCGGUAAUACGUAGGUGGCAAGCGUUGUCCGGAUUUAUUGGGCGUAAAGCGAGCGCAGGCGGUUUUUUAGGUCUGAUGUGAAAGCCUUCGGCUUAACCGGAGAAGUGCAUCGGAAACCGGGAGACUUGAGUGCAGAAGAGGACAGUGGAACUCCAUGUGUAGCGGUGAAAUGCGUAGAUAUAUGGAAGAACACCAGUGGCGAAGGCGGCUGUCUGGUCUGUAACUGACGCUGAGGCUCGAAAGCAUGGGUAGCGAACAGGAUUAGAUACCCUGGUAGUCCAUGCCGUAAACGAUGAGUGCUAAGUGUUGGAGGGUUUCCGCCCUUCAGUGCUGCAGCUAACGCAUUAAGCACUCCACCUGGGGAGUACGACCGCAAGGUUGAAACUCAAAGGAAUUGAC